CUUCCCGUGCUCGUGGUUUCACUUUGAUGGCCAAAGUUGACAGCCCCCACAAGAACAUUGUCGUGACCACAACACCGAUUCUGUACUAAAACACCCCCCUCCCCCACCCUUUAAUCGUAACAACGUCAGAGAUUUGUUUUUAUCCAGUGCGUUUGUAACAACUCAACGUGGUCGAGCCGAGAUUAAUGUUGGAUCAACGCUGAAGAGGCUGGGAGGACAUUUCAUUACAGCUAAUUUGCAAAGCAAGCAACAUCAUCAUCAUCAUGGCUAGGCGAUGUCACCUGUACGAGGAGCUUGAUAUCCAUCGCAUUGACCUGCACCUGGAGGUCCCCACUUAUGAACUUCUGCAAGAGCAGCUUAAUGCCAAAUUUGCAGGGCAAGUGGAAUUCGCCAUGAACCACAAGACGUCCAAGUUGAGAAUGAAAGGAAGUGAAGAUCACGUUGAAAAUGCCUCGCAGUACAUUGCAUCCAGCAAUAAGGACAUUGUGAAGAGCAGGUGUAAGCUUAAUCAUUUUCUCGAGGAAUUUUUGCAGUCCACCGAUCUCGCACAGUUUUCACAAAAGCAUUUAAAAGAAAAUGGGAUCAGAGCAGUUUGCGCCAAUGGUGGUGACGGGGUGUACGUGUGGUCCCUGAAAGAUCACCUCGAAAUAGCCGAUGCCACGUUGAAAGAAGCCCUCAAAGGCUGGCCAUUCCCACUUACAGAGGAGCAUGCACGCAUUGCAAGUGGUGAAGACUGGGGCAUAUUUUUUAAACAAUUGGAACACAAGUUUUCCAUGAACCCAAUGAGUUCGUGCAAAUUCACUUUUGAGAAAAACAGUGAUGAAUUUUUCGCUUCCAUAUACAUCGCUGGGUAUGCAACCGCUGUCUAUAACGCGGAAAGGGAGUUGGCCAACUUCUUUAAGCAGCACACCAAUGGAGAAACAAACACUUUAAAGGACAAAUCCCCAUCUGUACAAGUGAACAACCAUCUCGGACUAAACGAUGGUGCAGAGUUUAGUCAGUUACAAAGUGGCGCUAUGGACAGCAGCAGACUGAACAAUAAUGAUGUUCCCUUGUAUGCAACAGUAAAUAAACUUAAAGUACUAAAGGAUGGUGCAGAGUUUAGCGCUUUACAGGGUGGCUCUGUGGACGAUAACAGACUGAACGGUAAUGAUUUCCCUUUAUAUGCAACAGUAAAUAAACGCAAAGAACUAAAGGAUGGUGAAGAGUGUGGUGAGUUACAGGUAAACAAACAUCAAAGACCGAAAGACGGUGCACGAUUUAAAGAGUUAGGAAACGGCUAUGUGGAAAUAGGUCCGUUGAACUUGAACGAGGACCUUUCAUAUGCACAAGUAAACACACAUUCAGGACAAAAAGAUGACAAGCAGUUUGGAGAGCUGCAAAGUGACCAUGUGAAACCAUACAUAUUUAAAUAUGAGCCACUGUAUGAGUCCAUUUCAUUUUCAGGAGAAGACGAAAAUAAUGCUUCAAAAGAAAGUGAGGAGUCGAGUGAGUUUCAAAUUGAUGCUCUUCUCUCUCACAUGAACCCCAUUUUAAAGAAUUCGUUACUGGUUACACAUAAAUUGCCAGGUGGCCGCUUCUUGUGCUUGCACAUUGGAGACAUGCUGACAAUGCCUGUAGAUGUCAUGGUGAAUGCAGCAAAUGAAAAUCUGGACCACAUAGGAGGCUUAGCGAAAGCCCUGUCUGAUGCCGCAGGCCCCAGCCUCCAGAGAGAAAGCUACAGCCACGUCAAGAAGCAUGGCAAGGUCCCCUUUGGAGCAGUGGCCAUGACUGGGCCGGGCCGCUUGCCAUGCAAGAAGGUUUUCCAUGUCGUCGGGCCACAGUGGACAAUCCGAGAAAACAGCGCCAACAACGGACAAGUGGGCAUCAGGCGUCUGAACAUGGCCAUCGUGAGUGCUUUAGAAGCGGCUGAAGAAGAGGGGUUUAAUUCCAUCGCCCUCCCUGCAAUAAGUAGUGGCAUUUAUGGAUUUCCUGUGCCACUGUGCGCAAAAACAAUUUACACAGCGAUAUUAGUGUACUGUGGGAAGACCAAGAACUUUCCACACACUCUCACUAACAUUCAUGUCAUCGAUCUGGGGAAUGAGUUUGUGUUGGAAAUGAUGAAUCUCUCGCAAGAAGACAACGAUGAUGUCAUUCUGGCGCAUGGCUCGUCCGACCACCUAAGCACAAAGCAUGGUGAUUCAGAAACCCAAGAACACAGAGGAUUCCUCGACAGUGGAUUGCCGCAAAAUCGAGGCUUUGUAAAUGACGAAGAAAAACACAGAAGCGGGGUUGCUCAAAUACGUGCGAGAAUGAGGAAAACACAUUCAUGACUCGUGAAGGAAUAAAAAUAACAAUUGCAACUGGUAAUAUUGAAGACCAAACGACUGACGUCAUCGUGAACACGCUGUCCCCCAAGAUGGAUCUCAGCAUGGGGAGCGUUUCAUCUGCGCUCGCUCGCAAGGGCGGGCCGGACCUCCAGGCAGCCGUGAACAAAAAAAAGAUGUUACUUUUGCAAAACCAUUUUGAGACAGAACCAACGGGUG